GCGCCGGUAGCUCAGCUGGAUAGAGCAACAGCCUUCUAAGCUGUGGGUCAAAGGUUCGAGUCCUUUUCGGCGUG
rnacentral:tRNA from 1 species